UAAAGAUAAAGAAGACAAAGAUAAGGAUAAAGAAGAUAAAGAUAAGGAAGAUAAAGAUAAGGAUAAAGAUAAGGAAGAUAAAGAUAAGAAUAAAGAUAAAGAAGACAAAGAUAAGGAUAAAGAAGAUAAAGAUAAGGAAGAUAAAGAUAAGGAUAAAGAUAAGGAAGAUAAAGAAUAAGGAUAAAGAUAAAGAAGAUAAAGAUAAAGAAUAUAAAGAUAAAGAUAAGGAUAAAGAUAAGGAAGAUAAAGAUACAGAAUAAUACUGGAUAGAUGCAUUAAUGAAUAUAUAGAACGAAUACGCCAACUUAUUAUCACUUCCAGCUAGACGUUCGUGGUGUGAACAUGUCCUUCCCGUGCAAUAUAUGUGCCAAAGUAUUUUCAACAAGCGGCAACCUCAAGCGUCAUACUUUGAAUACCCAUGGAGAUGUUCAAAGCAAACCAGUUGAAAUCUCAGCAGGAUCUACAGUUUUGCAGCAUCCUUUCACAUGUAUCCUAGCUGGGCGUACCCAAAGCGGCAAGACUGUGUGGGUAAAAUCUCUCUUGGAGAAUGCACAGAAAACUAUAAGUCCUGCUCCUCAACGUAUCAUUUGGUGUUAUGGUCAAUGGCAACCCUCCUAUUUUGAUAUGAUGAGAACGAUGCCUG